UACAGAGGUCCCGAGCGUUGUUCGGAUUCACUGGGCGUAAAGGGUGCGUAGGUGGCAGGGUAAGUUUGAUGUGAAAUCUCCGGGCUUAACCCGGAAACUGCAUUGAAUACUAUCCUGCUCGAGGGUUGGAGGGGGGACUGGAAUUCUCGGUGUAGCAGUGAAAUGCGUAGAUAUCGAGAGGAACACCAGUGGCGAAGGCGACUCCCUGGACAACUCCUGACACUGAUGCACGAAAUCUAGUGGAGCAAACAGG
rnacentral:rRNA from 1 species